rnacentral:rRNA from 1 species
CAGUAGCCGCGGUAAUACGAAGGGGGCUAGCGUUGCUCGGAAUUACUGGGCGUAAAGGGCGCGUAGGCGGACAGUUCAGUCGGGGGUGAAAGCCCGGGGCUCAACCUCGGAAUUGCCUUCGAUACUGGCUGUCUUGAGUAUGAGAGAGGUGUGUGGAACUCCGAGUGUAGAGGUGAAAUUCGUAGAUAUUCGGAAGAACACCAGUGGCGAAGGCGACACACUGGCUCAUUACUGACGCUGAGGCGCGAAAGCGUGGGGAGCAAACAGGAUUAGAUACCCGCGUAGUCCCUGUCUCUUAUAC